ACUCCUACGGGAGGCAGCAGUGGGGAAUAUUGCACAAUGGGCGCAAGCCUGAUGCAGCCAUGCCGCGUGUAUGAAGAAGGCCUUCGGGUUGUAAAGUACUUUCAGCAGUGAGGAAGGUGGGUAGUGUUAAUAGCAUAUUCAUUUGUACGUUAGCUGCAGAAGAAGCACCGGCUAACUCCGUGCCAGCAGCCGCGGUAAUACGGAGGGUGCGAGCGUUAAUCGGAAUUACUGGGCGUAAAGCGCAUGCAGGUGGUUUGUUAAGUCAGAUGUGAAAGCCCGGGGCUCAACCUCGGAAUUGCAUUUGAAACUGGCAAACUAGAGUACUGUAGAGGGGGGUAGAAUUUCAGGUGUAGCGGUGAAAUGCGUAGAGAUCUGAAGGAAUACCGGUGGCGAAGGCGGCCCCCUGGACAGAUACUGACACUCAGAUGCGAAAGCGUGGGGAGCAAACAGGAUUAGAUACCCUGGUAGCUCUGC
rnacentral:rRNA from 1 species